rnacentral:rRNA from 1 species
GAUGAACGCUGGCGGCGUGCUUAACACAUGCAAGUCGAACGGAAAGGCCCAAGCUUGCUUGGGUACUCGAGUGGCGAACGGGUGAGUAACACGUGGGUGAUCUGCCCUGCACUUCGGGAUAAGCCUGGGAAACUGGGUCUAAUACCGGAUAGGACCACAUUUUGGAUGGUGUGGUGGAAAGUUUUUCGGUGUGGGAUGAGCUCGCGGCCUAUCAGCUUGUUGGUGGGGUAAUGGCCUACCAAGGCGUCGACGGGUAGCCGGCCUGAGAGGGUGUACGGCCACAUUGGGACUGAGAUACGGCCCAGACUCCUACGGGAGGCAGCAGAGGGGAAUAUUGCACAAUGGGCGCAAGCCUGAUGCAGCGAAGCCGCGUGGGGGAUGACGGCCUUCGGGUUGUAAACUCCUUUCGCUAGGGACGAAGCGUUUUUGUGACGGUACCUGGAGAAGAAGCACCGGCUAACUACGUG